rnacentral:rRNA from 1 species
GACGAACGCUGGCGGCGUGCUUAACACAUGCAAGUCGAACGGUAAGGCCCUGCUUUUGUGGGGUGCUCGAGUGGCGAACGGGUGAGUAACACGUGAGUAACCUGCCCUUUACUUUGGGAUAACGUCAGGAAACUGGGGCUAAUACCGGAUCGGAGCUCCUGCUGCAUGGUGGGGGUUGGAAAGUAUCGGCGGAUGGGGCUGGACGCGCGGCUUAUCAGCUGGUUGGUGGGGGAGUGGCUUACCAAGGCUUUGACGGGUAGCCGGCCUGAGAGGGUGACCGGCCACCUUGGGCCUGAGAGACGGCCCAGACUCCUACGGGCGGCAGCAGUGGGGAAUAUUGCACAAUGGGCGGAAGCCUGAUGCAGCAGCGCCGCGUGCGGGAUGACGGCCUUCGGGUUGUAAACCGCUUUCGCCUGUGACGAAGCGUGAGUGACGGUAAUGGGUAAAGAAGCACCGGCUAACUACGUG